AGUUUGGUGUGUACAGUUUGGUGUUAUGAGAACAGAAUGCUCCAGAGAGAGGGGAGCAAAAGUCAAACUGUUAUAGCUGGGAACUGAGGAACCAGAGGAAAUGGAGGCAGAGAGGGAAUAGCUUAUUUUAAUGACCAUGCUGCUUCUAGAAAUAUGUAAAACAGGAUAAUCUCAAAUCCUUCUGCAAAUAUCCAGAAAUUCUGGACAAAAUACACCAAAGAUUCUUCUGAAUGACUGAGGAGCUUUGAGAAAACGAGAGGACAUUCUCUGGUUCUAGAAACAGAAGGAACUGAAAAUCAGACUGUUUUCAGGAUGAUGACCCAUUCACAAAGGAGAGGCAGAUCCUCAGGAGGAAGAGUCCUGCAACACUACAGUAAAUGUAUAUGGUAAUGAGUUUCCCAGUCCUUCUCCAAAGGAACCUCUGGCCAUUUACUUGGCUGACUGGUGUCGGAAGAGGGACGGCCUGGAUCCAGAUCUGGUAACACUGGACGACUACUGACCUCUUUGGGACUCAGUUUCCUCCUCUGUACAGUGAAGGGAAUGAAUGAGAGGGCUUCCAAAAUCUGCCUCAGUUCUAAUAGCCCAUGACUGAAGUGGAUGACCAGAUGUUCCACUUGAAGUUUGCCUCCCAGGAUCAUUUCCUUCACCACUGCCUUUCAGGACCAUUCCUGAGUGUGAAGUAGUAAGGCAGGAGGUUCAUCAGCCAAGGAGCAUAAGACGGAGCACAUGGUAUACGCCUCGCUCACUGCGCCUCCCCGUCACAAGUUUAUCACUGUGUUUCGUGCCUCCAGAUGGAGCACACGCUCACCAGGAACUUUCUAAAGUUCCAAAGAGCCAAAGGAUCCAAAAAGAAAGAUUUUUAAAAAGAAGUAUUUUGCUCUAGUGGAUUGAAAAAUUGCUUUUAUCACAACCAUAAAUGAAGCAUGAUUCAGAAGUAAGGCAGUAUUGCUCCAGUUCUCUCAGGGCAGAAACACAAGCAGAGCUGAAGCAUGGAAGUCUCAUAACCAUCCUGAUCAAGGGGAACGCUUGACGAGAGACCCAUCAGUGUGGCUGCAGGAGGUCUCCUGUGUUAUGUCAUCUUCUGCUUUUUUCACAAGGGUGCUGGAACAGGUGGCCAGGAGCUCAGAAACAUGCUCAUCUGACCUGGGGACCAACAAGACAGAAUUUGUGAUUCUGAACCCCCAAACACAGGCCAGGUUUGUAGGCUGUGAAGUCCAAGUUCACAGAGCUGCCAGAUUCAGCGUCUGGUGAGAAUGCACUUCCUGUGUCUGUCUUCUGGCUGGGUCCUCACAUGGCCGAAGGGGUGAGAGAACGCUGUGGGGUCUUUUUAUAAGGGCGCUAAUCCCAUUAGGGCUCCACCCUCAUGACCUCUCCAAGGCCCCACCUCCAAAUACUAUCACAUCAGGGAUUAGGUUUCAACAUAGGAAACGUGUUGAAACACGCAUUCAAUCUAUUGCACAAAGGGGCACAGAAGGAAGCAUAAGGGAAGUGAGUGGGUUUUGGGGAGGGGAGCGAAUGAAAAGGGCUUUGGCAUAUGGUGUGGGUUGCUUGUUGAGUUAGGUUGCAUAAUUCACCCCAAUACUUUGCUUUUCCUUGUACCCACACUCUGUGCCUGGUGCCCUUGCGGCUCCUCCCACUAAUAUAUUUCAUCAUCUCUGACUUUGGGUUUGGCCCAUUGACUAGCUUCGGAUAAUAGAAUGGGGCAGAAGGGAAGUGACAAUGUCCCCGUUCCCAGCCUCAACCUUAGGAGGCUCUGUGUGACUCCGCUUGCAUUUCCGCCUCAGCAUUGCCAUGAGAAGAAUUUUCCUCAGUGGCCUGUUGGUCCUAGGAGGAGAGGCAUGUGGGGCACAGCCUGGAUCAAUCCAGGUGUGGCAGAGAUCCAGUUAUGUGAGCACAUUCAGCAGAGAUCAUCAGAACUAUCGGGUGGGUCAGCUAACCUCCAAACACACGAGAAACAGCAAAAUAUUGCUGUUUUAAGCCCCUGAGUUUUAGAGGAGGGCUCGGCAACCAAAAAGAACAAAAUCUUGCCAUUUGCAACGAUGUGGAUGGAACUAGAGUGUAUUACGCUAAGGGAAAUAAGUCAGUCAGAGAAAGACAAGUAUCACAUGACUUCACUCAUAUGUGGAAUUUAAGAUACAAAACAGAUGAACAUAAAGGAAGGGAGGCAAAAAUAAUAGAAAAACAGGGAGGGAGACAAAUCAAGAGACUCUUAGAUACAGAGAACAAACUGAGGGUUGCUGGAGGGGUGUUGGGUGGGGGCAAUGGGCUAAAGGGGUGAGGGGUAUUAAGGAGGACACUUGUUGGGAUGAGCCCUAGGUGUUAUGUAUAAGUGAUGAAUCACUAAAUUCUAUUCCUGAAAUCUUUAUUAUGCUAUAUGUUAACUAACUUGGAUGUAAUUUAAAAAAAUAAUUUAAAAAAAGUGAACUAAUAUACCUACCUAGCAACUACAAUCCCUUUCUUCUUUGGUGUUGUAGAGUCCCGAUUUUGUUAAAGAUUAUAAUGUGCCAUUAUUGGUUUAAGGCAAUCAUGUCACUUCUGUUACUGUUUGCUAGAUAACUUUCCUUCCCAGGCUUCCUUGCAGCUGGUGGUGACCAAGGUGACCUAGUUCUGGCCAAGGAGACAUAAAGGGAAAUCUUACUUUGGGGGAAGAUUUUCCUCCUGAUAAAAACAAAGCUCUUUUCUGUCUAUCCCUUUCUUUCCUAUUUGGGUGCUGGUAUGGCUGUGUGAUAUCUGGAACUGUGGAAGCCAUCUUGUCACCAUGAAGUCACAUGUUCAAGGAUGAGAGGUCCACACACUGCAGAUGCCCAAACAGGGUGAGAAAAGCCUGGGCUUUUGACUGCAUUGUUAAGCUUCAGAACAAACCCUGGGACCAUCUACCUCCAGCCUCUCACCAAGAAAACAGUGAUCGUCAUUAUGGUUCAAACCACUGUCGGCCAGGUCUUCUGCAAUGGCAGCCCAGUGCAUUGUUGGGUGGUAAGGGUACGGUGAAGGUGGAGGAGAGGGGUGUGGGUGACAAAUUACGGAGGUGUGUGUCAUAGUGCUGUGAGAAGCACACUGAGAAUUGAAGAACUUUUCCUAAUUAGCUGUGUAAUCUUGAGUAACUCACUCACCCCUCGGGGCUGCAAUUUCCUCUCUGGAGAGAAGGCAUUUAACUAGAUGAUCUCUAAGGUUUUCACAGCUCGAACACUGACUCUGAACAUACAGUCAAGUCUCUGAGUACCACAGCUGGGCAAAUAUUCACAGAGGAUUUUGGAGAAUUAUUAAUUAUGCCCAAAGAAAAGGCCAGAGAUAGUUGUUCUAUAGCAAAUGCUUAGCUCUGGGCUUGUAAAUAAUGAGUUUCUUCUUCGUUUCUGAGCUCGUGUCCAAUGUAGGUCUUACCUGCUCUAGGGGACUUUCAUCAAAUGCUCAUUAGAUGCCUUGUUUAUAAAAAAUGAUUUGCAUGCAAGGAGCAAAUGCUUCCUUUUCAGGAGCAGGUGUUGUGGGAUGAGGAGAAACAUGCUGGCUAAUGCCUUGUCAUCCAAAUUCACAGAAAUUUCUGGUAUCCUGGGCAGGUUUGACACCAUUCUGGGAAGAGAACUAAGAGACACAUCUUCUGAAUAAAUUAGUCUAUUUAUUCAGUUUCUAGUUCUGUAGGGUAGAGCUUUGGCAGGAUCCCAGAGAAGCAUCAGCUGGGGAAAAAAAUCACUUUAUUUUCUGCUUUAGCCAACAGCAUUUUCCUGCCCGGACUCGGCAAAAACGGACUUGCUUAGCUUUGCAGGCUCCUCCAGCUGCCACUAUUUCUCUGUGGCCUUCUGCUAACACAUGCCCCCGGCUCGGUCAGAUUUCUUCAGCUCUCGUAUUUCCCCCCCUAAAACGAUUUUUCUUUAAUCUGUCCCUGAUUUUCUCUGCAGUAAUAUACACAAGCUUACCUUUUCCCCCCUGUUUCCUUCCAACUUCCAUUAUCUCCCUUGCUCGCCCUCUCCUCUUUUCUCCAUCUACUGCCACGUUCUGAAAGGUUUCUUUGACUUUUGUGAAGUGAUGUCCCUAAAAUCUCAUCAGAACUCUGGGUGUCAUGAUUAUCUGAUAUCAUCAAGCAGACGUGUUUUGCCAGCUACUAUUUGCUCUGCAGAGAGAAUUGCACACUUAUGGUCUUGCUCUGUUGGGCAGAGCAGUGAAGACCAGCUGAGCACGUGGAUGUCAUUCAUUUACAUACACAUUUUACAAACCUUUAUUGAAGAUGACCAUGGAAUUCGAAAGCACUGAGCUAAGGACUAUAAGGAGAUACAAAUUACUUUCUGCACGAACAUGUCCUGUCUGGAGCUUCCAAAGAGGAGGAGCAGGUGAGAAUUUUGAAAGGAAAAAUUUUCCCUUCUAGCGACACAUACCUUAGGAGAUACCAAGAUUAAAUGUAUUUUAUCACAACUGAUUCGACCCAGCUGACGUGGACCCCAAACCAACCCCCUAUUGGACCCAACUAAAGAUUCUUUCCUGAACAAUGAACAGUUGGAUCUGUUUGAACCCACCAGAUACAGACCUGUAGAUUGAUUUCUGAGGUGCUGUUUUUCAACCUUUAAUCACCGUGAACCCCUCUUUCCAGGUGACACAACCUGACUUUCCUCCCUCAGCUAUUCAGCGAAUUUCUUCACUCGUGUGUGUUUCCUUGCCAGGCAAGUCAAUAAACUUGGCUUUGUGGAUUUUAUUUAUUUUAUAACUCUGGUCGUCCUCAUUUUAUUUGUUUUCAGAAUAUAGGCUGUAGGGGAGCCAACUAAUGUUUAACAUCUGGCAGCAGCACAGAAGAAAUUCUGAACAUUAAAAACGACUAAAAGAAAAACAACCUAGCCCAACCAAAAAACAAGCCAAUAACAGCCACAGUAACAUCAUAACAGCAAAUCUCACUCGGGAGACAAGGCCCUGCUAGGAAAUGAGACCCACGAUAACUUCCCAGCUCAGGUCAUUUCUGACCAGGAGCUGGUUUCAACUGGAUGAAGCCAAUUUCAACAGCGGUCUGAUCCAGAUCUGAAUAUUGUUUUCCAUGUUGGUGUGGCUUCUUUGUUCUGUUUAACAUUCCAAGUUUAGCAGGCUGGUAAGGAACAAAGGCCAUAAUUUUAACAAAAAUUACCUGCCUUUUACUUUUCUAAUUAUUUACCGGGUACUGCUGCAGCCUUUGGUUCGUUUAGGUAGGAAUUAUGCACCUUUGGCUCUUAUAUUGUGAUACCUGGAUUUUCUCAGAAGAAUCCUUUCAGAACUUGAGUUCGUUUUGCUUUGUGAUCUUAUUAAAGAAAGUCAGGAGAUUUUUAGUUCCGAUCAGGGUUUCUGCAGCACAUGUCUCAAACUCUGGGAAUUAUUGGAGGCCUGUACAUCAUUCCUCACUGAAGGAAACAUCCGGCACUUUUCCCAUACGUGUACUUUCCUGCUACAUCGAGAUGCUAUUAUGAUUUGUUUUCCCCCUUAUGGCAGAUUACUAAUAUACCACAUAUUUGUGAAGGGAAUUUAUUGAAAAUAUAGCAGAAUCCUUUUAAUGUAUUCCUUGUAGCUUUAAAGCAAUACAGCCCAAUCACGUUUCUGCCUCUGGCUGUUCCUAUAUUUUAGGGAUUUUGGUCUGCAAUAUAAAGUACACAAUGCUUUGCUUGUCCUAAGUCAGAUGCGACUCAGUGUCUUUAAUGUGACCUUCCCUGUUCCCGGCUUGUUGUCAUCUUUAAGUAAAUGUUUAUUCAGUGCCUACCACCCAGGGCUUUACAUUGGGCAUAUACAAAAUGGUGUUUGAAUGUAUUCCCUCUGCCUUCUGAGAGCUCAAGUGAAGCCAUCUUCCUCCCUCCCUCCCUUAAACGUUUGUUAGUGGGCAGAAGAGUGAACAUAAGAGGAAUCCUUUGAUAAUUCAAGAGACAAGCCAGAGCAAAGGACCCACUCAGGAGUGAAUGUUUAAUGGCAUGUUUCCAGAAUAUAGGCAGGAGGAUAGUGCAAAUCAGUAGAGGCAGUAUAUCAAAGGAAGGAGGGAAAAUAAUGGUUAUUUCUCUUCCUUUUGUAGAAAUCUUCUUAUGAGACAUGGUUUCUUGAAGCUAUCAGCUAUCAAUUGCUGCAUAACAAAUGACCCCCAAAUUCAAUGGCUUUAUUAAAACAGCAAUGAUUUAUUAUUUCCCGUGAUUGUUAGGGUUGAAAAUCUAGGCAGUUCUGUCGCUUGUCUGGCAAUAAGAGUUGUAAGAGUUUGGGGCUGGAGGGUCUAUAAUGGCCUCACUCGCUCUCAGGAAUUGAUGCUGGCCAUCGGCUGGGGUGUGUCUGUUCUCCUUGAUGUGACCUCUUAUCUUCCACUACACUAGAGUGGGCUUUUUCACAGCAGAGUGGUCUCACGGUCUUGAAGUCUGGGCCCUGGAACUUGUACGGUGCUACUUUUGCCACAUUCUAUUGGUUCCAAGCAGGACCUAAGGACAUUCAGAUUCAAGAGGUGGAGAAAUAGGUUCCACUUUUUUAAUGGGAAUACCAAAGGGACAUAGACCCGGGCAGGUGUGAUUCAUUGGGGACCAUUACUCUAACAAUCUAUCACAGCAGAAGCGGGGUCAGAAGACUGGGAAUGAGCAAGGAGGGGGAUAAUUUAAGAACCGAACCUUCAGGCUUCCCCAGAACCUUUGUCCUUGUGUUUAAUUAUGGAAUCCUAUGUGUCAGAAAAUAAUAGGUUGCCCCCAAUUAUUUGUUUCUGGGGAUACAGACGCAAAGGGAUGUCUUAGUGAAGGAAAAAUGAGGGAUGCCUACACUCUUAUUAAAGUUUGGCAUUUAGGGAAUACUAUAUAAGACGGAAAAGCAGAAAAUAUUUAAUUGCCAAAGAGAUGAGGGGAAACAGAAGAUUUUAUCAGGCCAAUAUAUACACAUUCCAGAUUAUGUAUGCACAUUGGAACACACAUAUGAGAUGCUUUCUGCUGUAACAUGAUUUUAAUUUUAUGGUUGUAGCUUUUAAAGAGCAU